GAUGAACGCUAGCUACAGGCUUAACACAUGCAAGUCGAGGGGCAGCAUGGUCUUAGCUUGCUAAGGCCGAUGGCGACCGGCGCACGGGUGAGUAACACGUAUCCAACCUGCCGUCUACUCUUGGACAGCCUUCUGAAAGGAAGAUUAAUACAAGAUGGCAUCAUGAGUCCGCAUGUUCACAUGAUUAAAGGUAUUCCGGUAGACGAUGGGGAUGCGUUCCAUUAGAUAGUAGGCGGGGUAACGGCCCACCUAGUCUUCGAUGGAUAGGGGUUCUGAGAGGAAGGUCCCCCACAUUGGAACUGAGACACGGUCCAAAACUCCUACGGGAGGCAGCAGUGAGGAAUAUUGGUCAAUGGGCGAGAGCCUGAACCAGCCAAGUAGCGUGAAGGAUGACUGCCCUAUGGGUUGUAAACUGCUUUUAUAAGGGAAUAAAGUGAGUCUCGUGAGACUUUUUGCAUGUACCUUAUGAAUAAGGACGGCUAAUU
rnacentral:rRNA from 1 species